rnacentral:lncRNA from 1 species
UUGGUUUAAAUUGAAAAGGGAGACUGAGACAGACAAGGAGAAAUAGAGCCAGGGAAAGGAGAGGAGAAUAUAAAACACUCCUGCAAUAAUUUUUUUUUUUUACUUCUGAAGACUGUAGUUAGUUGGAAAGAGCCAUCAUCUGGGAUACCUUUCCGGGGGAAAACUUAACCAUUCUGAUACACUUUUCUCCUGAGAAAUUUGGUGCUCUUACUCAUAACGAUGACAGAAAAUGGGCCCCUGAGAACAGAAGCGCAGCCAUGUGGGGAUGGGAACUAGCUGACAUUUAGAAAUAUUCUGGUCAAGAGUUUCAGUUGCUGUUUGUGUUUCGGGGAUGCUGGUGUGAAGCCCAGCUAAGUCAUCAGGUUUAACAGGUAACCCCUGAGUAGAUCAGCAAAGCCCUGUGGGGCACAGAGAGAAGACAGAAGCUGGUGAAAGGCACAUGCCUAGGCCUCCCUGAGAAUCAGGAAGAG